ACACGCUUUCCUUACAAAAAUACACAAGUUCACACUACAUGACAAAAUUUGACAAAACCUGCAGCUAGCACACCCAAUGGUACACGGUUUCUCCACCACCUUGUCCUUCCUCACUACCAUUUUCAAAAAUUCUGCAAAGAACCAAUUCCACUACACUGAAUCAGCCACCAAAUUGUACAAUAUAACAGCUCUUGUCCCCUUUGAUCUUAUCCCAAUCCUCACUCAAAUUUCUUAUUUACCCUCACUCUCAUUGUGCUAUAAAAGAACACACUCAUACACAAGCAAGGGGAGGAAGAAACGAAGUAAAAAAGCUCUGCAAGAAAUUUAUCCAAAUCAAUCUUCCUCCCAAGUUUUUAGAAACCAUUCACAAUGAUUCAUCCAACUUACCUUCAUUCACGGUCCAGAAACAUGAAUCCUUCAUAAACUUUCAAACCAUUCACCUGCAAAUGACUCAAACAGAAGCUGCAAAAGUUGAAUCAUAACCGUAAAAUUCCUUCAGCUUCAUGUCUCCAUACACAGUUUUUUUCCAACUUACAAAAAUUCUACCAUAACUUUCCACUGAUCAAACACCGACGCGCUUGCUCAAAACCGAGCUACCAUCCUUCAUUCAAGCGUAACAUCGCGACUCCAUAACAUCGGUAUCACGCUCAUAGUCAUCAAUACAACAACAGCUUCUGAUCCUUCACAGCAACAAUUUCAUCGCGAAUACCAUCAUUCAGAAUCACUACGCUCAGCAACAACACUGACCGAGACAACCGAAUAACAAGUCACAAGAAGAAGUGAAGCUUACCCUUUGGAUUUUGGGCCUCCGAUAACUUUCGGAUUGGCUCAAAGGAAUAAAUCGAGAAAAAUCAAUGCAAAAAAGUACAAAAAGGGGAGUUUCUAAGGAAUUGAAAAAUCAUGCUACAUGAGGCUUGACACAACCACCUGUGUCACCUGAAACUGGCCGUGUUAGGAUGAAGUGUGGCCAAGAAAAUGCAACAGAGUUGAAAGUCAGGGGGCUGAUACGGCCCGUGUUAGCAAGUGUGAGAUCUAGAAAUUUUCAGCAUGUUUCUCAUUGUGACAGGCGUGUAGUAUUUUGAUCAUAACUAGAGCUUUGUAACUCCGAUUGACGCGGUUCCGGUGGCAAAAUUUCGCUAACGAAAAGGGCUACAACUUUGAUGAAGAACUCAAAGCCAAAUUAUGAAGUUAUGGUCUGACACGGGCCGUGUUACCUGACACGGGCACACGUGUCAAGAGGCCUGGGAGAAAAAAAAUCAAGUGUUAAGAUGACAAAAGUCUGACACGGGUGCCCGUGUUGUCUGACACAGCCCGUGUCAGCAUGUGAUGCUGAUUUUAUGAUUUUUUCAUAUUUUUUCCAUGGGUUAAGCUAUGGGGGCGUUUUGGGUACUUCCAACCAACCUAAGUGAGUAUGCACUAUUUAGAAGAGUUUUAACGAUGAAUUAGAGGACUUUUUGGCGAGGAGAAGACACGAUUGAAGAUUGGAGAAAACAAGGGUUUGGGAGAGAAGAAGGUUUUCAUGAAUGGAAGCGAUUCAAGAUCAACUUUCAUCUCAUUUCUUGUAAUGUCUCUAUUUUAUAUUUUGUUUUCUUUGAACAAUAUGAGUAACUAAACCCUAAUGCUAGGGGGUGUCCCUGAUUUGAUUAUGUAAUGAUUUUGAGUUCCUGAGUUCAACAAUAGACUUAUUUUCUUAUUUAA